UUGCUUCUGCAGGAGGUAUAUGAAAAUUGGAACAAUACAGAGAAGAUUAGCAUAGCACCUGUGCAAGAACAAUACACAAGGUCAUGAAUUUUGAUAUUU
rnacentral:snRNA from 1 species